rnacentral:rRNA from 1 species
AGGCAGCAGUAAGGAAUAUUGGGCAAUGGACGCAAGUCUGACCCAGCCAUGCCGCGUGCAGGAUGACAGCCUUAUGGGUUGUAAACUGCUUUUAUCAGGGAAUAACCCCCCGUACGUGUACGGGGCUGAAUGUACCUGAAGAAUAAGCAUCGGCUAACUCCGUGCCAGCAGCCGCGGUAAUACGGAGGAUGCAAGCGUUAUCCGGAUUUAUUGGGUUUAAAGGGUGCGCAGGCGGAUAAGUAAGUCAGUGGUGAAAUCUCUCGGCUCAACCGAGAAACUGCCAUUGAUACUGUUUAUCUUGAGUGUAAAUGAAGUGGGCGGAAUGUAGCAUGUAGCGGUGAAAUGCAUAGAUAUGMUACAGAACACCAAUUGCGAAGGCAGCUCACUAAAUUACAACUGACGCUCAUGCACGAAAGCGUGGGGAUCAAACAGGAUUAGAUACCCUGGUAGUCCCCUCAGUGACGAUGAUUACUCGUUGUUG